rnacentral:rRNA from 1 species
GAUGAACGCUGGCGGCGUGCCUAAUACAUGCAAGUCGAGCGAACAGACGAGGAGCUUGCUCCUCUGACGUUAGCGGCGGACGGGUGAGUAACACGUGGAUAACCUACCCAUAAGACUGGGAUAACUUCGGGAAACCGGAGCUAAUACCGGAUAAUAUAUUGAACCGCAUGGUUCAAUAGUGAAAGACGGUUUUGCUGUCACUUAUAGAUGGAUCCGCGCCGCAUUAGCUAGUUGGUAAGGUAACGGCUUACCAAGGCAACGAUGCGUAGCCGACCUGAGAGGGUGAUCGGCCACACUGGAACUGAGACACGGUCCAGACUCCUACGGGAGGCAGCAGUAGGGAAUCUUCCGCAAUGGGCGAAAGCCUGACGGAGCAACGCCGCGUGAAUGAUGAAGGUCUUCGGAUCGUAAAACUCUGUUAUUAGGGAAGAACAAAUGUGUAAGUAACUAUGCACGUCUUGACGGUACCUAAUCAGAAAGCCACGGCUAACUACGUG